rnacentral:tRNA from 1 species
GUCUGUGAAGUGUAGUGGAUACGCACGCGACCCUGCGAAGGUCGAAGAUCAGGUUCGAUUCCUGACAUGGACAC